rnacentral:lncRNA from 1 species
AAACCUUUUUUCUUCAUUUUUGGUCGAACUUCAUUUGUACUCAGCUUAUUUCACUUGUUCUUGUUACUUUUAAUCAGACUGGUAUAUUGAACUCAGCUCUGGAUUUUGUUCUCCUGGCUGGUCAAAUCUUUAGAAAGAGUGUCUGCAGUUAUAAAAAUGCUUCCAAAUUUGUAUACAAUUGGCAAACUGCUAUAUCUUUGUUUCUGAAAAAAAAAAAAAAAAAAAAAAACACUUUCCUGCUUGACAUGUCAAGUGCCAUUUUUUCCAAUGGCACAGGACAAUCGGUUUCAGCUAUGGUGAUCUUCUCAAAAGAUGAUGUAAAAACUUCUUAUACCCAUGAGCAAAAUCUGAAGUUGCCUCCUCAGAAUAUGAUUACAUUUGGGAUUUUUUUUAGUACACAAAAUCUGCCGCCCUGUGGUUUAGCUGCUACUGUUGUUAUUCUAGUAGUACUCUUGAGUCUGUCUAUGAGGAGUCUGAGUUCAGCCUCUGAUCAGAGAUGGCCAGAGCACUUCGAGAAUGGGGGCUGUUCAGUUAGUUUAUUAGAAAAUAAUUCACUUUAAUGCAAAGAUUUUCAUCACAUGAGAAAUAGAUGCUUUUCCCUGUUGUCUCUGGUUUGUCGGCAGUAGGCCCACAUUCACAAGGAAGUUUGGUGGGGCACGCCCUGUACCACUGCCACCUACUCAGCCCCCUCAGCGUUGCUCCAGGCCAGCCGACCCCAAGCAGACAUUUUGGGGCCUCGCUGUUUACCAUGACCCUGCACACAGAGGACGGAGCCCACCCGUGUGGCACGUUCCCCGGUGCGCUGGGCCCUGUCGGGGCUGUGACUGCAAUGCCGCUGGCCGGGCCCAUGCCAAAGAGGUCUUUGCCUUGCUGGGCGUACCCACUCCCGCUCUGCCAUGGUUCAUGUAGUAAAGCUCAACUACUUGUGGAUGAAGUGAUAGAUACCAAUGAGCCAGACCCUUGGAGAAAGGAAGACUAUGUAGAGCUUCAUCAACAAGUCCUCUGGCCCUAUGCAAGUCUACAGAAAGAUAAUGUUUUAACAUCUGAAUGUUUUAAAAGGAAGUUACACAUUUACACAUUAAAUGCUUAUCUCUGAGCUUUAAAAGUGCAGCGAUGUGUGUUAGCACACUUCUUGGAGCUCAUUACAUUUCAGAGAUAUUACUAAAAACACAGUCAACAUCUCUGAGACUUGCAUUCCUUUCUGUACAAAAGGACCUCAUUAUGAGGAGCUAGACAAUCUGCUGGAGAUCCGAAAUGGUGUAUGCGUUUUUGCAGGCAUAAACAGUUUGACAGUAAUUUCACUUCAAUGUUAUGUUAGCAGUUUGUAUCCGUUUUACUACAAUCAGACCUUUGAGAAAUGGUAUUUACAAAUCAUUUUUUGGUCAAAAGCAUUUGGCGAAAAAAGUCUCUUUACAAAGCCAGAAAUUUAUUACGUAGCACACAGCCAAAUCCAUCUGCUCUUCAGUCCCAAAUAUAUAUCUUAAUUGUAUUCAAAUUUUCUCAUUUGCACAAAAGGAGAGCAAGAACCACCUUAAAGAACUUGAACGAUCUGCUGGGGUUUGGUCCAACUCCCACUUAGGUCAAUGGGACACAUUUAAUGACUUACGCAGAGCUGUACUCCAUGUCUAGUACACAGGAUGUAACAGAACACUUUCAGAUCUUAGGAGUCAAACCAGUGUUUUCUAGAGACUUUUCUCAUCCAAGAGAGGUUUGUUCUGAGAUGGUUCAUCUAAAGGUACACAGAGAAAUGGUGCGUGGCAGAAGAACUAGCCGAAGAGCACCAGAGUCACCAAAAGCCUCAGAUGUAGCCUGAGACAGCAGAGAAAUUACCACAAUGCAGGGAAAAGAGCCAAAAGGUGAAAUUAAAUUCCAGUUUGGAUGCUUACAAGGUCCUGAACUGCACAGAUGCUUAUUCUGUACUGUGACCCUUUGCUGAUCGUAACAGUUCAUCUGCUCAGGAUAGCUAUUCUCAAAAGAUGUGAAAUAGCAAACUUUGUAUUUCCUGAUGAAGAUGUACAAUGUAAGAUUUCAUAUAACUCUAGUGAGCUGAGGUUCCUGCUCAGUUGUUUUCAUCUGUAAAGAAGAAAAUCUUUUAUACGUACUGUAGAAAAAAUAUAUUGUCUUGAUAACUUAGAAGUCUACUCUGUUUUAUAAGACAUCGAAAGCAUUGCAUAUUACCAGUGAUUGUCUAAUAUGUCAUAAAAAUAUUUUGCCAUGAUUAUUUUGCAGGUAUGAUUAUAUAUUUAUUGUGGAAAUUGGGAUCUUCCUUAAGUCUCUUUAUUAAAGGCUUCGUAGACGUUUUUAUUACAUUUUAGGGGGAAGCUAUGACCUACUCCCUUACAGCACAGUCUAAAUUCAAUAAAAGCUGAUCCCUGGAAUUCA